AGCUGUCACUUUCUCCUACAGUUU
rnacentral:piRNA from 1 species